UAGAUCUACAUAAUAGAUCUAUUAUUAUAGCUACUAGAUCUACUAGCCAUAUCUAUGAAUGGCAACACAAGCUACAACACAAUCUACACCCAUACUCCCUUCAGAUCACUCUGAGUCUCACCUUUACUUCACUGUUUAGUGUACAAGACAUGACAGCAGACCAGCCAAUACUAGAGUUAUAGGAUUGGUAAAGAUCACACUAGUCUAGAUCUAGUGACUAGAUCUUGACUAAUAGCUCUAGAUCUAGUGUGAUCUUUACCAAUCGUAUAUCUACAAGGCCAUCUAUCUCUAGCUCUUCACCUGUUCAAGUAACAUGAGUAAUGUAUACAAAAUUAAUGUUAAUUAACUAUUACCCUCCAUCAUAUCCCAGGUGCACUGUAUAGUAUUAUCUUUUGGAUACAAUUCAAGACUGAGUACGUAGGUGUACGUGUUACCCUAUUCCAGCUCAGACCUGACUCUCCUCAUUUCUCACGGAUGGAACUGACUUGAGCAACUUACUACCAUUCACUAUACAUGGGCGAAGUGUCUGCAGGCCAGACUCUUAUCACGGCAGAUGCAGUGUACAGUUUGGAUAGUGAUAUCUGCAUAAGAUUUCACCUCUUCGAGACUGUGUGGCAUUGAUCUCGAAGACUUCAUCCUGCUUCCAGACUCUGGAUACCCUCUCAGCUUUGAGUAUUCAAUAUUAUUGAAACUGUUCUGAACUUUUGCUGAACUUGAAGUUAAAUCAAACUCAGGUACUGCGUAAUCUCCAAAAACAUGAUCUGGAGACACCAAAUUCUCAUAGUCUGGCUCAUCGUCAUCACCUUCUGCACUGUGGUCAUUUAUAGGUGCAAUGUUUUCAUAAUCAGGAGUAUUAUCUUUCGUGUUUGCGUGACUUCUGUUAUCUUCCUGCCUGCUUCCAAAGCCAUUGAGAGUGUUAUUACUCUCAUGUGGAGAACUGUUAUCAAUAAUUGCAUAGACACAUUCGCUUUGUUCUGUGUUCUCUACAGUAUUAAUAUUUUGUGUUUUGCACACUCAGGGGCGGAUCCAGGGGUGAUUUUGAGGGGCUGAAGCCCCCCCCUUUUGAAAAAACUACCAUAUGUUGUAGUCUGACUCUACAACAAUUUUGCCACCAAUUAUGCAUCUGUAGACUCACUUGAAAUCACUUGAGAGAUGCUAGACAACAGCUACUAGGAGUAUAAAGGAUCUAGGGUAGCUAGCUGGACGUACCUAGCUAGCUAGCUAGCUGUACGUACGUACGUACAUCUGAUCAGUACAGUAUCACCAUAGUAUUAAAAGUAAGUGCAGAGGUCAACGUAUUCUACUCAUUAAUAUGAAAGUUCAAAGGUCAAAUCUUGCAAAAAAAUUCUCCUCCGGCGAGGCUGCCCUCGUACAGUACAGGGCUUCGCCCCUUUCUAGCUAGUCUAGCCCCCCCCUUUUGUUUUUCCUGGAUCCGCCCCUGACACUCCCGCUACACCGUAAGCCUCAUUGCAACUCGUGGGUAUGUCUUCAUUCAACUUGACAUUAUUACUUUCUUCGUCACUCACACAUUUCUUUCUCAUUACUUCAGAAACAGAGAGGAUAUCAUCGUAACCAGAUGAUACAUCGAGGUGGUCCUGGGAUAUAUCUGCACUUUCAAUUUCAAUUUGAGUGGUGUGUGAUCGUGUGAACUUACUUGAUGUAGUUACUGUCAAGUUCAUUGCAGAAGUUGAGUCUGUGGUUACGUUUGUGCUGUUUGCAGCUCCUUGGGCAAUUGCUGAAAAACAGAGUAUUAUAUUAAAGUGACUAAACGGAUCGAUCCAUGCAUAUCUAAUAGGUAUAUUAGAGCUAUAAUUAUUAUUACCACUAUAGCCUUGGUCUAUUAUAGGCAAUUGUUUUACUUGUUGCUUAUACUGUACAAAAUAAUACUUACCAUUGUUGAGUAGUAAUAUUGACAAAAUCA